CUGCGGAAGGAUCAUUACCGAGUGAGGGCCCUCUGGGUCCAACCUCCCACCCGUGUCUAUCGUACCUUGUUGCUUCGGCGGGCCCGCCGUUUCGACGGCCGCCGGGGAGGCCUUGCGCCCCCGGGCCCGCGCCCGCCGAAGACCCCAACAUGAACGCUGUUCUGAAAGUAUGCAGUCUGAGUUGAUUAUCGUAAUCAGUUAAAACUUUCAACAACGGAUCUCUUGGUUCCGGCAUCGAUGAAGAACGCAGCGAAAUGCGAUAAGUAAUGUGAAUUGCAGAAUUCAGUGAAUCAUCGAGUCUUUGAACGCACAUUGCGCCCCCUGGUAUUCCGGGGGGCAUGCCUGUCCGAGCGUCAUUGCUGCCCUCAAGCACGGCUUGUGUGUUGGGCCCCCGUCCCCCUCUCCCGGGGGACGGGCCCGAAAGGCAGCGGCGGCACCGCGUCCGGUCCUCGAGCGUAUGGGGCUUUGUCACCUGCUCUGUAGGCCCGGCCGGCGCCAGCCGACACCCAACUUUAUUUUUCUAAGGUUGACCUCGGAUCAGGUAGGGAUACCCGCUGAACUUAAGCAUAUCAU
rnacentral:rRNA from 1 species